rnacentral:rRNA from 1 species
UUUGGAUCCAGACUUUGAUUCUGGCUCAGGACGAACGCUGGCGGCACGCUUAACACAUGCAAGUCGAACGGAGAUAUUCACUUCGGUAAAUAUCUUAGUGGCGGACGGGUGAGUAACACGUGAGGAACCUGCCUCUGAGUGUGGGAUAGCUUCUGGAAACGGAUGGUAAUACCGCAUAACAUUAUUUUAUCGCAUGGUAAGAUAAUCAAAGAUUCAUUGCCCAGAGAUGGCCUCGCGUCUGAUUAGAUAGUUGGUGAGGUAACGGCUCACCAAGUCGACGAUCAGUAGCCGGACUGAGAGGUUGGACGGCCACAUUGGGACUGAGACACGGCCCAGACUCCUACGGGAGGCAGCAGUGGGGAAUAUUGCACAAUGGGGAAAACCCUGAUGCAGCGAUGCCGCGUGGAGGAAGAAGGUUUUCGGAUUGUAAACUCCUGUCGUAAGGGACGAUAAUGACGGUACCUUACAAGAAAGCUCCGGCUAACUACGUGCCAGCAGCCGCGGUAAUACGUAGGGAGCGAGCGUUGUCCGGAAUUACUGGGUGUAAAGGGAGCGUUGGCGGGACGGCAAGUCAGAUGUGAAAUAUACGUGCUCAACAUGUAGACUGCAUUUGAAACUGUCGUUCUUGAGUGAGGUAGAGGUAAGCGGAAUUCCUGGUGUAGCGGUGAAAUGCGUAGAGAUCAGGAGGAACAUCGGUGGCGAAGGCGGCUUACUGGGCCUUUACUGACGCUGAGGCUCGAAAGCGUGGGGAGCAAACAGGAUUAGAUACCCUGGUAGUCCACGCCGUAAACGAUGAUUACUAGGUGUGGGGGGACUGACCCCUUCCGUGCCGCAGUUAACACAAUAAGUAAUCCACCUGGGGAGUACGGCCGCAAGGUUGCAACUCAAAUGAAUUGACGGA